GGUGUAGCUUUCCCUUGUCCCUUCUUUCUUACAUGGCUGCAGUGUUCUGAACCUAUCUCCUUGAAGCCUGGGCCCAUGCCGAUGAGCCUUUUUCCUCCUUAGGAGGGGAUCUCUCCCAGGGUUUUACUGGGACAACCGGCAGGGGCUCCUGGAGGUAAAACCCACGGAAGUGUGGGGGCCCUGCGAGGACUUUGACCCAAGAAUUUCUCACUCUCAGGCUAACUCAUACUCAGCCUUCAGCAAGUUGUCAAAACUGCCAUUUAAAUGUUCCUACCAGUUCACAGUUCCGGUGGCUUCUGUUCCAGUUUAUCCAGAUUUUUCUUCUUAAAGAUCGGAAUGAUGACUUCCAUGUCUGAGAUGAAACCUGAAGUUUGGAAGAUGAAGCCUGAACUUGCUCUCUAUUAACUGGUCCUGCGUGGAUAAGUCUAGCACUCUUUUUUAAAAAUAUAGAAAUACUUGCUCCUCAUGUUCUGGAGCUCACAGAUAACGUGCUGAGCUCAUUUCAUGUGCUCCUAGUAAGGGCAACCUGGGUCCAUUUAAGGCAAAGGUAAACUUUGGACUAAAGAAGUUAUAGGCCUGGAAUGUGACUGCCCAUUAUCACUUGCCCAGUUAGGAAUUGAGGAUCAGAUUGGUUACUUUUGGUUACUAAACUUUGUCAAAUUUAUUACGUAGCUCCCUUUUUGUUCACAUUAUCUGAGUCUGGUUCUCCCCUAUGCUGCAUGACUCAGGAAGUUCACAGAACCCCACCUGGGAAGGGAGGAAGCCAGUUGUGGCUGACACUCGCUUCAGCCAGGCAUUCCUGCAAGCAUUUUAUUUAUAAUUGCCAACUCAGUUAAUUCUUACAGAACUCCAAAGACAAAUUACAGUCAUUUGCAGGUUAGAUGAAAGAUUGCAGAGACUUCAAUCAGUGGACCUAAGUUGCAUAGAUAAACUGAUCUGAUUUUCUCCCUGUGACUUGGGAGAGCUUUCGGCCAAGAAUAGCAGUACUCCCUUUCCCACUCUUAGACACCUGUGCAGUUAGUGGCUGCAGUCACAGCUGCUGUACCGAAAACUACAAUACCCAGUCUCACUUGCAUCUGACUGAUAUGACAGUGUUAUUCCUAAAGGGCAAACUGGUGCUUUCAUCCCUUCCUAGACCUGUUGCCUGGAAUGUGGUGGUAAUGGUGGCCAGCCUGACAAUGAUGAUGGUGGCUAUGUUCUCAGGACGGCAAAAUGGGGAGCUUCAGUGGCACUGGUCCUGUUCCCAGGCAGAACCAACAUAGAAGACAUUGUUCACCUAUGUUCACCUACCUCUGGACUUCCACACAAUAGACAGUAUACAUUAUGGUUAUUAAAUUACUACUAUUUGGGAUCAUUGUUGCUGUAGAAGCUUAUUUUUAAACUAAUACAGCACUCUGUAGUAUAUUAUAAAGGAGUAUUGCAUGUAGCAGAAAUGGAAAUAUUAGUGUAACUAAGUUCAAGUUCUCAGGUAGCAGGUGGCAAAGUGCUCAGAAUUUCAGAGACUAGAAAUCUGGUAAUACUUGUUUGGCAAUGGAAAUAUUUCACUCAUAUUGACCCUAUCUUAGCUUGAAAGCUAUACCACCUACUGAGUAAGAUUGUAGUAUAAGGGGAAAAGGUUAGCAUAAACUCAACAUUUUGCUCUGGUUUAGACAUCUCUGCUGUUUCAAGCAGAGUCUGACAGAUAUGAACUCCGGCUGGAGAGCACCCAUGGACAGGCAGAGGUGUGAGAAAAUGCAGCUGCUCCAGGAGGCCCUGUCUACACGCCAGCUUGAUUGACUGAGACAGAGCUGAUCUGGGUCCUUGGACGUUUGAAGUAGCCAAACCUCUGUGCCUGAUGGAAAUCCCUUGGGAAUACGGAUUCCAGAUGAUGGCCUUAGCAGAAUUUAGCAGAAGUAAGACUGUAUUCCCAAGGCUUUUUCCAGAACCUUCCAUUUAGGAUGGUCUGUCAGAUGUCAAAUCUAGCACAACAGCAAACUUCAAAUGAUGGAUAUGGCCCUUUUCCCAAACCAGUGAUUUUCAAGUGGUGUGCUGCAAGAAUUUUUAAAACAUGCAAUACCUCACUAUUUAGCCAGGGGUACCUACUUCAUUUCCCUUAGGUUGUCAAAUAAAAAUACAGCAACAGGCAACACAAUAGCCAUUCAAUAUGAAUGAAUCAAAAUUAUACUUUUUUUGUCAGAUUGGUAAAAAAUAUAUUCUUUGUUGUGUUGCAGAAUUUUAGUAGUUAGUUUAUAUGUGCCAUGAGAUGAAAAAGGUUGACAGCUGCUGCCCUAAACCUUUGCUUCAGAUGGUCCCAAGAGAGUCUCUACUACACAGGGGGAGGGCGUGGGGGGGAAGGGGAGGUGGAUUCUUGCAGGGCUGCGGUGUGGACAUAACA